AUCGUCCGCCUCGUGGACUGCCCGAACAUCAGGGCGCGGUCCCGGAUACCCUGACGUCGUGUGUCCUGCCGGAAGACCUCCACGACCGGACCUUCCGGGCAGCCGCAAAGCCGACAGCCGUCGCACCUGAGGGAGCCCUUUCCAUG
rnacentral:sRNA from 24 species